rnacentral:lncRNA from 1 species
UUGCUGAAAAUUCAUAACUACAACUUAUUUUCAAUAGAAUCUCCAAAUGGAAAGUUAACCUCCGAACGUUUGCAUAACCUGAAGAACUUCCUCAUGCACCACCAAGUUCCCAAAAGCAGUCAUUUGACAACGAUUCAAAGUGAAAUAAAGUGAAUUCGACAUAGAAACUUCUGUAAUUUCAAAACAUGUUUCCUAAAAUUACUCGCCUAUAGAGUAAUGUCACAAACCCACUUAUUAAAAUCGAUUGCCCCAACUAAAAUUCAACACGAACACAGAGAGAUUAAAUGGUUAAUACCAAAAUCUUGUCCCAACUGUAAUUGAUAACCUGCCCCCUUCCGGUUUAAACUUUAUAGGAUGAUUCUUUAACCCUAGUUCUUGUCAUUCAGUGAAGAGUCAUAACACAUACAGACAUUAAAGUUGAAAUCUUUUCGAAGCAGAUGAAAAGGGAAUACGUUUCGGCCCUUUGAGUUAUUGGAAAAAAACCCAACAGAGCAAAAGCCUCUAACUCCAAAGACUUGUGGGAUUUUGAAGAGAGCAAGAGAGAGAGAAAAUAUCAGAAGAAAUAAAGCAAGAGAGGGGGGAACCAAAAGGGGCAAGAAGAAGAAGAAGUAGUAGUAGCAAAAGCGAAGCAGAGGAAGAAGAAAAUAAGGGAAAAAAAGGACGAUUGAAAUUAAUGCAUCAAACGACGAUUGAAUCGAGAGUUAUGGAACAAAUUUGUACUUCACCAACAUGUAGAAAAGCUUGGAUCUUUGAAGCGAAACGAAGACAAUGAGUGCUUUGCGGCGGAGGCCGAGUUCACUCAGAGCGGAUUCGUCGUCGUCG